UGUACGAAACGCAACAAACGCCAAUUUAAGAAAUCCAACCCCGUUUGAUGAAAUCGAAUCGAACUUAUUUCUACAACAAAUUAGAACACAUAUUAGAAGCUAAAUCUAGGAAAUCCAAUCCAGAAAUCGAAUCGAACUUAUUUCUACAAAAAUUGGAACACAUAUUAAAAGCUAAAUUUAAGAAAUCCAAUCCAACUCCGUUUAAUGAAAUCGAAUCGAACUUAUUUCAUUCAGUAAAAAAUAUUACUUCAAUCCAACGGUUUUAAUCAAACUCACGCCGUUUAAUCCAACGUGCACAAUCUCAUCUCAAUCCAAACGUAAGACUACCGACACCACCAUUGUCAAUCAAUCCUCUUAUUAACCUUAACAGUUUAACACUCUCUUUUCUCUUUCUCUCUUGUUUUCUGAAACCAAGCCGUCUUUCUUCACUACCCUUUUUCGAUUUUUCAACAAAUUUCGACUUAAAAGAAUAAAGUUUUAAUUUUUAUUUAAUUAUAAUUAAGAAAAAGAAGAAGAAGAUGCAAUCAACGAAUGGAGGAGUGGAUCCAAAGCAGAUGCAACUAGAACAACAACAACAAUAACAACAACAACAACAACAACAACAACAACAACAACAACAACAACAACAAUAACAACAACAACAACAACAAUGGAUGGUAAUGCAAUAUCCAGCAGCAACAAUGGUGAUGCAACAUCAAAUGAUGCCACCUCAACAUUACCCACAAGAUUAAAGCUAAAUCUAAGCAAAACCAACAAAUCAACAACUUCAACUUCAACAACAACAACAAAACCAACAACAAAUUAGAACACAAAUUAAAGCUAAAUCUAAGAAAUCCAACUCCAUUUGAGAAAAUCCCUACCUUUAUAGAAACACGAACAAUAAAUUACAAGAUACAACAAUAAAAGAACAAAUAGAAGGAAGAUGUUUGUUUACCUUUAACUACUCGAUUUAUCUAUGCAACUUUUCCAAUUUGUAUAUAACCCUUGAUUUUGAUAUUAAAUUAAUGAGAGAGAGAGAGAAAGAGCGCAAUUGAGAAGAUAGUGUGGGGGAAGGAUUUAUAGAUCGAGUUGAGAGAGUUAUCGAAGGAGGAGAGUUCUUUUCAUGGUGGAAGAGGAAGAA
rnacentral:lncRNA from 1 species